UGCAAGUGGAACUCAUCUGAUCAUCACAACAAGAUGGCAUCAGCUCUUCAUUUCAUUGCGGUCCUCUGUUUGACCAGUGGACUGUGUAUUGGAGCCAAAGCAUCAAGUGAGACAGAAUCAGAUUAUUGCUGUAAAACCUGCCCUGACGGUUGGACUGUGUUUGGCCAACAAUGUUACAUGUUCCACAACAGUGAAC